AGGGUUUGCACUGAUUUCAGCAUUCUUCAAGGACUUCAUAGCAGCAGUUUGUGAAUCUUCCGUCAGCAAGCUCUUUACCGAAGGACUGGAUUGCAAGGGAUAUUCAAGAGUUCCACUGUAACCUAUGUGCAAGUCAACAAAAUGAAUUCAGACAGUUAUAAGAAGAUCAGACUGAGUUUUCUUUCUGUUAAUCAGGAACAAGG